GCUUACCAUGCAAGUCGCACGGAGGCUUUCGGGCUUCAGUGGCGGACGGGUGAGUAUCGCGUAGGGAUUUGUCGUUGGGUGGGGGAUAACCUUGGGAAACUGGGGCUAAUACCGCAUGACGCCUGUGGGCCAAAGCUUGUGAGAGCGCCUGACGAGGAGCCUGCGUCCGAUUAGGUAGUUGGUUGGGUAAUGGCUGACCAAGCCUGCGAUCGGUAGCUGGUCUGAGAGGAUGAUCAGCCACACUGGGACUGAGACACGGCCCAGACUCCUACGGGAGGCAGCAGUGGGGAAUAUUGGACAAUGGGCGCAAGCCUGAUCCAGCAAUGCCGCGUGGAUGAAGAAGGUUUUCGGAUUGUAAAGUCCUUUCGGCGGGGACGAUGAUGACGGUACCCGCAGAAGAAGCCCCGGCUAACUUCGUGCCAGCAGCCGCGGUAAUACGAAGGGGGCUAGCGUUGCUCGGAAUGACUGGGCGUAAAGGGCGCGUAGGCGGAAUGCUUUGUCGGGCGUGAAAUUCCAGGGCUUAACCUUGGGGCUGCGUUCGAGACGGGUAUUCUAGAGUGGAGAAGAGGGUCGUGGAAUUCCCAGUGUAGAGGUGAAAUUCGUAGAUAUUGGGAAGAACACCGGUGGCGAAGGCGGCGACCUGGUCUUUUACUGACGCUGAGGCGCGAAAGCGUGGGGAGCAAACAGGAUUAGAUACCCUGGUAGUCCACGCUGUAAACGAUGUGCGCUGGAUGUUGGGACACCUAGUGUUUCAGUGUCGUAGCUAACGCGGUAAGCGCACGCCUGGGGAGUACGGCC
rnacentral:rRNA from 1 species